AGUCCGGGGAUCCAUGCAGUAGUCAUAUGCUUGUCUCAAAGAUGAAGCCAUGGCAUGUCUAAGUACAAACCUUUAAAUACGGUGAAACGGCGAAUGGCUCAUAUUAAAUCAGCUAUGGGUUCCUUAGAUCGUCUCAUCUACUCGGAUAACUGUGGAAAAUCCUAGAGCUAAUACGUGCUUACAAGCCUGACCUCACGGGAGGGCGCGCAUUUAUUAGAUCAAAACCAAUUUUUUUUUUUUUCCCGGGGGCCCUUUUCUUGCCCCGUCUGCUUGGCUGGUGACUCUGGAUAACUUUUGUGCUGAUCGCAUGGCCUCUGCGCUGGCGACGUAUCUUUCAAAGUGUCUGCCCCUAUCAACUUACGGAUGGUAGGUGAUUAUGCCUACCAUGGUUUAAACGGCGGGUAACGGGGAAUCAGUGGUUCGAUUCCGGAGAGGGAGCCUGAGAGAAACGGCUUACCACAUCUAAGGAAGGCAGCAGCGCGCGCAAAAUUCAACCCACCUGCCCGGCCGGGCGGGGAGGUAGUGACGAAAAUAACGAUACGGGACUCUUUUGAGGCCCCGCUAAUUGGAAUGAGUACACUUUUAAAUCCGUUAACAAGUAUCUAUUGGAGGGCAAGUCUGGUGCAGCAGCAGCCGCGGUAAUUCCCAGCUCGCAAUAGGCGUAUAUUAAUGUUGCUGCAGUUAAAAGCUCGUAGGUUGGAUCAUGAGGACUCGAAUUGGUGGGCAACCAUACGGUGUACUAGCUGCCGAUUCGGCCGACCUAGUCGGUGCUCGCUUCUUGGUGUUCUUAAUUUGAAUGCCCUGAGUGCGCGCCAGAGUUGUACGUUAUGCAAAAAACUUAGAGUGCUCAAAGAGAGGCCCAUUAGCCGGAAAUACUUCUAGCACUGGAAUACUUCAGCAUGGAUGGAAUAGGACUUCGGUUCUAUUUUGUUGGUUUCGGAACGCGAGGGAAGGUAAUUGAUUAAGAGAGACAGACGGGGGCAUUCGUACUGCGUGGUUUAGAGGUGAAAUUCUUGGAUCGCCGCAAGACGAACAAUUUUGCAGAGAAUGUUUUCAUUAAUCAAGGGAACAGAAGCAGAGGUUUGCGAAGACAAGAUACGCGUCCUGUUUACGCAUCGAUCGCCUUGGCGAUCGAAGAUCGUUUGCUUAGACGCUCUCGGGCCAGCCUCCGGGAAACGCAAAGUUUUUAGUCGCGGGGGAAGAGAGUUGCAAGCGGAUAUUGAAGACUGCUGGCCGACACCAAUCGGGUUACUUGGUCUGUUCUGGCCCGGAGUCGGUAGGGUUUCCGGCCGUGCUCUUCCUAGUUCUAAGCGCCGAGGCGGGGCUUCCCGGUGGGGAAGGCGGUUGUAAACGAUGCCAAAUGGGGUUGCCGGAACUGUCGCAACGGGCGAGCCUCGGCUCCGAGGGCUGGGACUCGCUUGGAGGAGGCGAUACAUUGCUUAUGUGACUGAGUGAGGAAUCUGGUUCUCGUAAAAAUCUGGAGAUCGGGCAAAAUUAGUUCCCGCACGAGGGGAGGUGUCUGAGAGCCAGUGCGCCUUACUAGUUAAGGGAUUGACUUCCUUUGGUGUAACCUGGAAGUGGCCCCAAGGGUCCUAUGCCGCUGCACUCCAUCCCCGAUUGGAGUCAGGUGACGGCUCCUUUGCACGCAGACGCGGCCGGACCCGAAGGAGGCUUGGGCCGCGGAAGUACGGCGUCGGGGCGGUGGCAGGAAGCCUGCUACGACCAGCCAGCCGUGCAAAGCCAUUUAUCUGGCUAUUAACGUAAAAAGUUCCACCGGGGCCAGGUGUUGACGGAGGUUUUGUACCCUUGCUAGGCAAGAGAGGGGUGGAACCAGGCAGGGCAGGGAGCGGCUUGUAUCGACGAAGGUCGCCGUCUCCCUCGCGUUUUGCCUGGUCCGCAAGGGGCGGGGUGGUCUACGUCUCCUGCUGUGGGACUCGCCGUCUCCUGUUUCUCAGUGACGGGCCAGCAGCCUAACGGCGGCUGGUUGUGCGACCCCACCGGAAGCUACACGAGAGGCGGGCCUAAAGGCCCGCCCGCGCAGUUGGGGGGCGGAGACCGCCGCCCCCCAAAACCCCCCACGGUACACUAAAGGAAUUGACGGAAGGGCACCACCAGGAGUGGAGCCUGCGGCUUAAUUUGACUCAACACGGGAAAACUCACCCGGCCCGGACACUGUUAGGAUUGACAGAUUGAGAGCUCUUUCUUGAUUCGGUGGGUGGUGGUGCAUGGCCGUUCUUAGUUGGUGGAGCGAUUUGUCUGGUUAAUUCCGAUAACGAACGAGACUCUAGCCUGCUAAAUAGUACGCCGAUACCUUUUCGUCGGUGCUGACUUCUUAGAGGGACAAGCGUCUUGAAGACGCACGAGAUUGAGCAAUAACAGGUCUGUGAUGCCCUUAGAUGUUCGGGGCCGCACGCGCGCUACACUGAAGGGGACAGCGAGUUUUUCCUGGUUCGAAAGAACCGGGUAAUCUGUUGAAUUCCCUUCGUGACAGGGAUCGGGGCUUGCAAUUAUUCCCCGUGAACGAGGAAUUCCCAGUAAGCGCAAGUCAUCAGCUUGCGUUGAUUACGUCCCUGCCCUUUGUACACACCGCCCGUCGCUACUACCGAUUGAAUGGUUUAGCAAGGUCCUCGGAUUGGUGCCGACUUGGUGGCAACACUAGGUCGGAUACUGAAAAGAAGAUCAAACUUGAUCAUUUAGAGGAAGUAAAAGUCGUAACAAGGUUUCCGUAGGUGAACCUGCGGAAGGAUCAUUA
rfam:Macrostomum lignano unitig_46905, whole genome shotgun sequence.